ensembl:lncRNA
GUAAUUAAGAAAUUAAAAGGUAAUUUCCACAGUCGCUGCGGCUCGCCUGGCCCAGUGAUCGCCUAAUUGAUGGUGCAGCCGGCAGAGCCCACGCAGCCGCCCUUCCGGUGCGCCUGGAGCGCAGCGCUCUCCGCGGGCUUUGUGGUUUCUGGAUCCAUCCCGGGAUGGGCUUCCGGGAGUUCCGGAGAGGGAGGGGAGAGCCAGAGCGGGGACACUCACGACCCUCGCGCCCCCCCACUCCCACCCCGCUUUCUCCAGGCUUUCUCGUCCUCCUCCUCGCCGCUACAAGUAUUGUGCCUUUCUAUUUGUCUUUCUUCCAUUCCACCCCCCACCCCCCUGCCCUUUGUGUUUUUCCACUCUAUUUCUUUAUAAACUUCUAUUUCUUUCUCUUCUCCUUUUAAUUUAAUUUUAUUUUUUUCCUUUCAUUUUUGGCCCUGCCACUUGGCAAGUGGGCUCUUAUUAAUUCCCCUACCAGGGAUCGCUCUUAUUAAUUCCCCUACCUGUGCCCCGAGCACUGGGAGUGUGGGGUCUUAACCACUGGACCCCCAGGGAAGCCCCUCUCAUCCCCUUUUCAGUUAGCUCACUAGUCUCUUUCCUACUAGUCUUCUCCACUACCACCACCACCACCCCCUCCUUCCCCAGGUUUCUGUCUCCAUCUCCCAUUUCCUUCAGUUUCUAAAAUUAUUAGUGCUGAGCCUGGAAGAGUUUCCAGCUGAUCCUUACACCCUGGAGAAGAUUGCAUUUAAGUUACUCCCACCACCACCAUCUCCGCCUCCAGUUCCUGCAGGCCUGGGCAGUGUCUUCUGUUUCUCAGGGGAAACUGAGGCCAGUAGAGGUUGCCCAACUGCCCUCCCCCCCAACUCUGCAGUCUCUCCCAGCCCCCACCCAGCUGCCAGGAAUGGGACCACCCAUGAGUACAGAACAGAAAAAAAGGGUCCUUUGUUCCAGGAGAUGCUAGAGACCCAGCUGAGAAGAGAAUGAACUUGCAAACUUGAUUCAACCACAGGCCUUGUGCCGUGACCAAUAAAGGAUGCUCCUGCAAGCAGCUCCCCAGCUCUCCCCAGACCUGCCACCACCACCUCCAUCAUCUCCACCUGCCAGUCUGCCUGACUCCAUCUGCAGAGGAGAGACACGGCUGGAAACUGAGAGAGGAGGCUUCACAGGGCCCCACUGCCUGGACCACGGGCGCUGGGUUAGAGCAAGGCAGCCCUUCAUCAUUUCUAGCAAACUCCGUUUCCUACUUGGCAGGGGGCACUGCUCCUCUCUGGGCACCUUGGAGUCUCCUGCCUUCCAGGAAAAACAUCAGGGAAACCUUGGGUCACCUCGCUUGGCUGACAUCACCCAUCUAGACCUCAUCCAGUCCCAGGUCCCGCAAAAACAAAAGCCGUUGGACCUCAAAGGGUUGCCCUUCUUUCAGCCAGAAUACCUCUCGAAAAUGAUCUUCUUGAUGAGAGAGAUCUCUCUGUGCUGAGGUGGGCAGAUAAAUUAAGUUAAAAAAUGGAAAAUAUCAACACACUGCUCAAUCCAGCUCCGCGUUUUAUUUUUUGGCCGCUCCACACAGCAUGGGGGAUCUUAGUUCCCCAGCCAGGGAUCGAACCCACACCCCCUGCACUGGAAACUUGGAGUAGUUCUGACCAUUGGACUUCCAGGAAAUCCACCCCCUCUCCAACCUACUUUUUAAAAAUACACACUUUAAAAAAAGAAAAAGCUGUCAGAAUAUUAGCCAAAAGCAUUCCCUUUGGUUAUGUCUGAGGGUGGGAUGACAGAGGACAUUCUAUGCUCCAUGUUUCUACGAUGUUUUCAUUGAAGGAUUGCUUAUGUAGUCAGGAAUAACAGAGUGUUUGAAAAGGGGAAUGGCGAGGGGUUCUUGGGGUCCUUGAUGUCUUGAGAAGCCAGGUGGGUUGACAGGCAGGAUUCUAGAACAGUUCAUUCAAGAGUCUGAGAGACCACUUUCCCCAGGUUGGGGAAAUUUCAGCCUUUGGUCCAGGACUGAGUCAUCCUGAAGCAGAAAGGAAAAUUGAGUGAUGCUAAAGAAAUCUGAGCACUGAAGAACUGAUGCUCAUGAACUGUGGUGUUGGAGAAGACUCUUUAGAGUCCCUUGGACUGCAAGGAGAUCCAACCAGUCCAUCCUAAAGGAAAUCAACCCUGAAUAUUCAUUGGAAGGACUGAUACUGAAGCUGAGGUUCCCAUACUUUGGCCACCUGAUGUGCAGAGCUGACUCAUUGGAAAAGACCCUAAUGUUGGGAAAGAUUGAAGGCAGGAGGAGAAGGGGACGACAGAGGAUGAGAUGGUUGGAUGGCAUCACCGACUCGAUGGACAUGAGUCUGAGCAAGCUGUGGAAGAUGGUGAAGGGAUAGGAAGCCUGGCGUGCUGCAGUCCAUGGGGUCACAAAGAGUCGGACACGACCGAGUGACUGAACAACAACAGAAGAAAUCAUCGCUUCAUCUCUCUUCUUAAAAGUGUGUGUCUGCACUGCUAUAGUUAUUAAUAAGAUGGAUAACAAGGACCUACUGUACAACACAGGGAACUCUGCUCAAUGUUAUGUAGCAGCCUGGAUGGGAGGGAGUUUGGGGGAGAAUGGAUACAUGUGUAUGUAUGGCUGAGUCCCUUUGCUCUUCGCCUGAAAGUGUCACAACAUUGUUAAUUGGCUAUACUCCAAUAUAAAAAAAGUUCAAAUAAAUUCCUAACGUGAUGCUGUGUCGAGAAGCAUACACAAGAACAGGUGCUAGUCUUUCUGUCCAGGAAGUGGAGCCAGGUGGCCAGGGGUGGUGAGGACCAAGAUAGAGGUUUCACUCUACCUUUUCUGGUACGUUUUGAAUUAUAAACCAUGUGUAUGUAUUACCUACUCAAAAAAAUAAAUAAAAUUUAAACGUGAAAAUCAGGUACUUUCCAAAUAGCACUGUUAAAUCAGUGUACCAUGUGUUAAAUGUACGUACGCACUCAUGGACGAACACAGCCUUUUGAAAACAAUUAAUUUGAGGAUGUUCAUUAAGAAACAUUUGGAAAAUUCAGAAAAGGAGAAAGAAAAUAUAUGUCUAACCCAGAGUCCCGCCACUCAGGGACAUUCACCAGUAAUAUUCUGGCUUAUUUCUUCUAGUCUGUUUUGUUUAGUUGUCAUGUGGUUUGAAUCAUUCUGUGUUAGAGUUUUAGAAAUUGCUUUUUAAAGAUCUAAACAUGGAUAAAUGCUUACAAUGUCAUACCAUGAUAGGACAUUUGAGUCUCCUUCUUAAAGGCUGGUGUUGGGGCUCCCAUUGGUAUUGGCUGGUAUUGGGAAAUCUCAGAAGACAAUUCUGCCCUCCAC